rnacentral:rRNA from 1 species
AAAAUGACUCUCAGCAAUGGAUAUCUAGGCUCUCGCAUCGAUGGAGAACUUAGCGAAAUGCGAUACUUGGUGUGAAUUGAAGAUUCCCGUGAACCUUCGAGUUUUGGAAACCAAGUUGCACCCGAAUCGAUUAGGACGAGGACACAUUUUCCUGGGCGUCACGC